rfam:Medicago truncatula strain A17 chromosome 4, whole genome shotgun sequence.
GCCUAUGAUGAUAUAAUCCAAUUUGUUUGAGGUGUUGUGGAGCCAAGCCCCUGUUUACAGGGAUAACCUACUUGGUGAAGCUUCAUUCAUAUGACUUCAUUGGAUUUACUCUUCGAGUU